CCCGGGUCUUGUACACACCGCCCGUCACACCAUGGGAGCGGGAUGUACCAGAAGUAGGUAGGCUAGCCGUAAGGGGGCCGCUUACCACGGUGCGUUUCGUGACUGGGGUG
rnacentral:rRNA from 1 species